UCACACGUUACUGAACAUGUUCUGGAAGGUUCUGUGGGAUUUCCAUCAGUAAAACCAUCUGUACUUUGACUCUGCAGCCACUUCAUCUCAAGGUUCAGGAGCAUUAAUCUACAAGGACUGUGCUGCUGCUUCUCUUUGUCCAACCACUGGAGCUGCAACCUUUUCCGUCGCCUUGACUUUUUCCAGUGCGAUUGCAUCAGCUCAGUGCUGCAACACGGCCAACUGCAACUCCCAGACCCUGACAUUUCCGGACCCUCCGUCUGCUAACGGCCGGACGUGUCCCGUCUGUGACCCGACCACCUCUCAGUGCAGCUCUACAGUUACAUGUUCAGGAGACCAGACCAGCUGCUUCCAAGCAACCAUGACAAACGGCUC